rnacentral:rRNA from 1 species
GAUGAACGUUGGCGGUGUGCCUAAUACAUGCAAGUCGAACGGAGUUAGUAGCAAUACUGGCUCAGUGGCGAACGGGUGAGUAACGCGUUGGUGAUCUGCCUUGAAGUGUGGAAUAACGUUUCGAAAGGAACGCUAAUACCGCAUGUGCUCUCGAUUUUCAGAAAGUUGAGAGUAAAGGAUUUAUUCGCUUCAAGAGGAGCCUGCGUCCCAUCAGCUGGUUGGUAGGGUAACGGCCUACCAAGGCUAUGACGGGUAGGGGACCUGAGAGGGUGGCCCCCCACAAUGGAACUGAAACACGGUCCAUACACCUACGGGUGGCAGCAGUAGGGAAUAUUAGAAAUGGACGAAAGUCUGAUCUAGCAACACCGCGUGUGCGAAGAAGGCCUUCGGGUCGUAAAGCACUUUUUGGAAGGAAUAGGAAGGAAUGUACUUCCAGAAUAAGUCUCGGCUAACUACGUGCCAGCCGCCGCAGUAAAAC